rnacentral:rRNA from 1 species
CAAUGCCGCGUGCAGGAUGAAGGCCUUAGGGUUGUAAACNNCUUUUGUCGGAACGAAAACGGUCUCUCUUAAUACGGGGGGCUAAUGACGGUACCGUAAGAAUAAGCACCGGCUAACUACGUGCCAGCAGCCGCGGUAAUACGUAGGGUGCGAGCGUUAAUCGGAAUUACUGGGCGUAAAGCGUGCGCAGGCGGUUAUAUAAGACAGAUGUGAAAUCCCCGGGCUCAACCUGGGACCUGCAUUUGUGACUGUAUAGCUAGAGUCCGGUAGAGGGGGAUGGAAUUCCGCGUGUACAGUGAAAUGCGUAGAUAUGCGGAGGAACACCGAUGGCGAAGGCAAUCCCCUGGACCUGUACUGACGCUCAUGCACGAAAGCGUGGGGAGCAAACAGGAUUAGAUACCCUGGUAGUCCACGCCCUAAACGAUGUCAACUGGUUGUUGGGUCUUCACUGA